UACGUAGGGGGCGAGCGUUGUCCGGAAUUACUGGGCGUAAAGGGCGCGUAGGCGGCCCGUUAAGUCCGCUGUGAAAGACCGAGGCUCAACCUCGGGGUGUCAGCGGAGACUGUCGGGCUGGAGUCUCGGAGAGGGAUGCGGAAUUCCUGGUGUAGCGGUGGAAUGCGUAGAGAUCAGGAGGAUCACCGAUGGCGAAGGCAGCAUCCUGGCCGAGUACUGACGCUGAGGCGCGAAAGCGUGGGGAGCGAACGGG
rnacentral:rRNA from 1 species